rnacentral:rRNA from 1 species
GAUGAACGCUGGCGGCGUGCUUAACACAUGCAAGUCGAACGAAGCACUUAAUGAGAUUUCUUCGGAUUGAUUAUUUUGUGACUGAGUGGCGGACGGGUGAGUAACGCGUGGGUAACCUGCCCCAGACCGGGGGAUAACAGUCGGAAACGACUGCUAAUACCGCAUAAGCGCACAGUGCCGCAUGGCACGGUGUGAAAAACUCCGGUGGUCUGGGAUGGACCCGCGUCCGAUUAGUUAGUUGGCGGGGUAACGGCCCACCAAGACCGCGAUCGGUAGCCGACCUGAGAGGGUGACCGGCCACAUUGGGACUGAGACACGGCCCAGACUCCUACGGGAGGCAGCAGUGGGGAAUAUUGCACAAUGGAGGAAACUCUGAUGCAGCGACGCCGCGUGAGCGAAGAAGUAUUUCGGUAUGUAAAGCUCUGUCAGCAGGGAAGAUAAUGACGGUACCUGACCAAGAAGCCCCGGCUAACUACGUG